GACGAACGCUGGCGGCGUGCCUAAUACAUGCAAGUUGAGCGCUGAAGGUCGGUACUUGUACCAACUGGAUGAGCAGCGCACGGGUGAGUAACGCGUGGGGAAUCUGCCUUUGAGCGGGGGACAACAUUUGGAAACGAAUGCUAAUACCGCAUAAAAACUUUAAACACAAGUUUUAAGUUUGAAAGAUGCAAUUGCAUCACUCAAAGAUGAUCCCGCGUUGUAUUAGCUAGUUGGUGAGGUAAAGGCUCACCAAGGCGAUGAUACAUAGCCGACCUGAGAGGGGGAUCGGCCACAUUGGGACUGAGACACGGCCCAAACUCCUACGGGAGGCAGCAGUAGGGAAUCUUCGGGAAUGGACGAAAGGCUGAACGAGGAACGCCGCGGGAGUGAAGAAGGGUUUCGGAUCGGAAAACUCUGUUGGUAGAGAAGAAAGUUGGGGAGAGUGGAAAGCUCAUCAAGUGACGGUAACUACCCAGAAAGGGACGGCUAACUACGUG
rnacentral:rRNA from 1 species